rnacentral:lncRNA from 1 species
UUUCAAACAACAACAAAAAAAAACCCCUCUUGGAGACCAACAUUCGGCAGCCACAAACACCCCACAUAAACCCACAAUUUUCAAUUCAUAAACACUCCAUUUUUCACUAAAUCUAAGCCUUUCAAGAACAUCUCAACAUGAGUUAACCAUGGAACAUCAUGAGGAGCACUUUUGGAGCUUAAUCUCUUCUUAUUUUCUUAUUUUAGCUUGUGCAAAGUUUUUGACGCUCUACAAGCUAGGUUGAGGCUUGGGGAAAAAAAGCGAGUCAAAUGGAUCGGAUGCGAAGAAAAAGAAAACGUUGCUUGGAUGCGAGGUAAGUAAAGCUUACACUCUUUUUAAUUCCUAGAAAAUAUCUUGUUUUAUUGAUUUCGGAUAAGAUAGACAAACAUUAGAAAAGUGAUGUUUCCAACAUAUAGUUGUAUGGAACAAUAUAAACGAAAAUGAUAAGAAACCACAUUGAUGGUUAAAAAGGAUUAAAUUGAUUAAUCGUUUAUACAAUAACGAUUAAAAAGAUGAAAUUUUAUGGUUACUUUAUAAGGUAAGCCAAAACGAAUAAUAAGGCAAAACAGUAAUUUGGUGAUGCGUUAAUUAUAAACAUUAGUUUUUGAAAGACACAUAUGGCAUAAGCCAUAAUGGGUCAAAGGAGUUGAGAAAUGGGUUAUAGGUAAACGACCAUACGGUGUAAACCGUAGUGAGUCAAUUAGAUGAGACGGUAAUAAAUAUCGUCUUGCAAAGAUAAACGGAUAUUUAGACUAAACGGGUCAAAAGGUGAAGAUAUCACCCUUUGACAAUAUUGACUAAUGAUUACCGUUGAGUUAUAUGAUUUCAGGAGCCUAUAUAGAAUGGAUAUUGCAUCGCUAUUCAUUAGCGAUUUCUAAAUCAAGGUAUUAAAACGGGUUAAUGCAUUGAUCCGAGUCAGGUAUGUAAAAUGGUUCAACUCAUCAUUUAGAACUUGGGGGUCUCUAAGAGUUGAACAAGGUCAAAACUUGAUAUUUGGUUAUCUUAAAGGUAAACCGAAUAAUUUAAGUUAUAAUCGUAGUGUUUUAGAAACAUAAUGGUUUCUAAACAUAUUUAUAGUUAAAAGAUCGGAUUUUGGGUCAAACAAGUAUCUAAAAGUCCUUCGUCGUAAAAGGACUAAAAUUGACCAAAACGCCCUUGUAAGCUAAAUUGAGCUAAUGACCUUUAAAGGUUGUUUGGAAACGAGUUUUAUGAUAAAAUGAAUACUUAGAAUAAGUAUAAGAAGCGAAAGAUGUAAAUCCUUGGUCAAAUGACUCUAUAGGAGUCUUUGCCGUAAAAUAACGAUUCGAAGGGUAAAACUCGGAAUAUAAUGAUCGCCACAUUAAAUCCACCUCAAUUAUAGUCGUGGUGGAACUUCAAUUGAUAAAUAAUGUGGAAAUAGAAUGCUAAAAGCGAAGAAGCAUGAAUUAUGCGGAUAAAUGCUUAAAUACCCUUAACGGUCAAAAUAAGCAUUUAAGAAAAAACGGGUUUAAGAAUGUAUGUAAACCCGAGAUAUUAAAUCUCUUAUGAUAAACAACAAUGACUUUAUAGAAUUUAUGAGAAAUUGGAGUCAAACAAACAUGUUUGUUUGAUAAAUACACGAAUGGGUCAAAAUUGGGUAAAAGGGUAAUAAGCCGGAGACUUAAAAGUCAGAAAUUUUGUUAAUCCGGAUGUUGGAUUUUAACUCCAUUAGAUGGAGAAUUAAAUUACGGACGCGUAGGAAAAAGAAUCGCGCAAAACGGACAUCUAGAUCAAAAGUUAUGAAGCUUUGAAGUUAAAAUUUCGACCGAAAAUGGAGCUGGGCUAAUGCAGCAGCAAAUAAGUAGCUUGCUGUCAAAAAAGGGGCUAGGUGGGGCGUCUAGCCCUUAGGUGGGGCGUCUAGCCCCCCUGAAUCCCAAAAUUGUUUAAUUUUGUUUGUUUGACCCACAUAACUUGUUUAAACUUGUUAUUUAACUAUCAAAACUAACUAUUAAGUUGGUUUUGAUCAUAGGUGAAUGUCAAGAUUGUCUGGAUGAAGAUCAAGCUCGAUGAGGAACCGAACACGAUAAAAUACAAGCUUCCGCGUGGCGUUUCGUCAUAUCUUUUAAACGACGAAUUCAAUUACAUUAAGUUGUUCUAUUUUUAGAUUGUAAAAGUUUUAGUAAACUCGUAUUGUCAUACGUACGUGUAAUCGUAUAAACAUGUAUUUAUACGAAACUUAUAUAAAAUAUUGAUUUAAACAAGUAAGGGUGUUACAAGUUGGUAAUCAGAGCUCAAGGUUAAAAGAAUAAAGUGUUCGGUUCGAGGCUUGAUCGCAAAUCCGGACACUCGCGUCUGAAGAUGACGAGAGUUGAUCGAAUUGUGGAUAUGAUGAUGGAAUGGUCCGAGGUAUGACAAGAAGAGCAUACUCAUCAAGGACCAAAAUCGCAUAACGAUCGCAAAUUAGUAAUGGCAAAGAAAGCCCAUUAGGGCAAGCAUUUACCAGUUUGACGCUCUACAAGCUAGGUUGAGGCUUGGGGAAAAAAAACGAGUCAAACGGAUCGGAUGCGAAGAAAAAGAAAACGUUGCUUGGAUGCGAGGUAAGUAAAGCUUACACUCUUGUUAAUUCCUAGAAAAUAUCUUGUUGUAUUGAUUUCGGAUAAGAUAGACAAACAUUAGAAAAGUGAUGUUUCCAACAUAUAGUUGUAUGGA